rnacentral:rRNA from 1 species
AUUGAACGCUGGCGGCAUGCCUUACACAUGCAAGUCGAACGGCAGCACGGGAGCAAUCCUGGUGGCGAGUGGCGAACGGGUGAGUAAAGUAUCGGAACGUGCCCAGUCGUGGGGGAUAACGUAGCGAAAGUUACGCUAAUACCGCAUACGAUCUACGGAUGAAAGCGGGGGAUCGCAAGACCUCGCGCGAUUGGAGCGGCCGAUAUCAGAUUAGCUAGUUGGUGAGGUAAAGGCUCACCAAGGCGACGAUCUGUAGCUGGUCUGAGAGGACGACCAGCCACACUGGAACUGAGACACGGUCCAGACUCCUACGGGAGGCAGCAGUGGGGAAUUUUGGACAAUGGGCGCAAGCCUGAUCCAGCCAUGCCGCGUGCAGGAUGAAGGCCUUCGGGUUGUAAACUGCUUUUGUACGGAACGAAAAGGUUUGACUUAAUACGUUGGACUCAUGACGGUACCGUAAGAAUAAGCACCGGCUAACUACGUGCCAGCAGCCGCCGUAA